rnacentral:snoRNA from 1 species
AACACUCUACUUCCAGGGACCAUUUCUAUAGUUUGUUACUAGAAAAGUUUCUCUGAAUGUGUGGAGUACUAAAUACCCUGAGGAAGGGUGUAGUAUUCUCUCCUGAGCAAAAAGCCAGCUCUGGCUGUUGGUUCUGCAGCUGCCUUUUGCCACUGUUGACUGUUCUUAUUCUUUGGGAGAGCAAGAGG